UUGAUUUUAAUUGGAAUUAGCUGUGAUGCAUUGAGUAGAAUUUACUUAUGUUUUAUGAGGAACAACGACGAUGCAGAAAAUCGAUAGAUUUUCAAUAGCAUUUUGUGCAUCAUGGACGCCUAUGACUACACGUUUCAGGGGUUGCAGUCCUCAACUUCCCGAAGCCAUCCUUCCACUGCUGCUUCUGGUUCUCAGCUGAUCAGGAAUUGUCCCAGUCAUGAGGAAUCCAUCUUCACAAACUGCAAGCGACAAAGAAAUUGACCACACCUGUCAAGAGCUGAGAAUAUUUAACAGUUCUCACACUUUACGUUCCAGUCAUCAUCCAACAUCAUGUCCGCGUGAGACUGUAUCCUGUGUUGAGCACCAUCUUCGGUCAAGUCUGGACUCGGUGGCUCAUUAUUCUUGAUCAGCCUUUAUAUAUGGACAUGUGCUGUUUUUCCAUCAUCUCAACAUAGCUUUGUAAGUAUCCUGGACAUUUUAUUGAAUCAACCAAGAAAAGUUUCUUGAAGUUCACCAAUGUAGUCUGUACCUUGGAUUGUAAUGGGUGUUAUUUGUUGUUUCCUUUGUAAUUUACCAUAAACAGUUUUUGGCUGUUAAAUCUAUGCUAACUAAUUGUAAUUCCUUAUGGGUUGUACUGUAUUUUUUGCAAUGAAAUUCUGGCAACCACAGCUGCUGGUAAUUUAAUGUA